rnacentral:rRNA from 1 species
CCUACGGGAGGCUGCAGUGGGGAAUAUUGCACAAUGGGGGAAACCCUGAUGCAGCGACGCCGCGUGAGUGAAGAAGUACUUCGGUAUGGAAAGCUCUAUCAGCAGGGAAGAAGAAAGACGGUACCUGACUAAGAAGCCCCGGCCGACUACGUGCCAGCAGCCGCGGCCAUGCGUGGGGGGCAAGCGUUAUCCGGAUUUACUGGGUGUAAAGGGUGCGUAGACGGUUGGGCAAGUCUGAGGGGAAAGCCCAGGGCUCAACCCUGGGACUGCUUUGGAAACUGGGGAGCUAGAGUGCUGGAGAGGUAAGUGGAAUUCGUAGUGUAGCGGUGAAAUGCGUAGAUAUUAGGAGGAACACCGGUGGCGAAGGCGGCUUACUGGACAGUAACUGACGUUGAGGCACGAAAGCGUGGGGAGCAAACAGGAUUAGAUACCCGGGUAGUC